GUUGGUAGAAAAGUGAGAAAUUAUCCUAAGACUCUCCCUACUCCAACUAGAAUUGGGCUGGUUCUAUAGAGUUUUAUGGGCAAGCUCUAAUUGUGAUACUUUACUUCCUAUCUGAAUAUUGCCACACCUCUAACAAAACAUCCAUAGUAUUUACUUCUUUCUAUUCAGUUCUCUGGUAAAUUAGAUAAGAAAAGGCAGAUGUUGUAAACUUGUACUAUCUAUCUACCUACUCAACAGAUGCUAAUAGGUGUCAAGCCUUGCCCCAAGAGCUGGUAACAAAGAUGAACGAAAGAUCCACAACUUAAAAAUAU
rnacentral:lncRNA from 10 species